AACCCGAAUCUGUUCUGAGAAGCAGCCUUAUCCAGCAUUAGCGACAAUAUGUUCAUGCAGGUAACGAACAAGUAUGGAGACAAAGAACAGCCCUGACGAAGGCCCCUCGAACUUCCAAAAUAACCCGCAAGUUCACCGUUGACUUGAACUGAAAACGAGGCAGUGGAAACACAUAGUCGAAUCCAAUGAAGGAAAUCCAAAGGAAGAUCCUUUGCCUCCAAAACCGUUAAAACAAAGUCUCAUUCCACUGUAUCAAACGCCUUUGAAAUGUCAAUUUCGAGAGCACAUCUAGAGGAGAUAGAGGGUUUAUGAUAGCAACAAGUUCAGAGGCUAGGAGUAAAUUUUCGACUAGGAGCCUAUCUUCGACAAAAGCCGACUGAUUCGGCAAGAUAAAAUUUGGAAGGAUAGUCUUCAGCCUAUUUGCCAGAAUCUUCGAAAUGAGCUUAUAUAUUACAUUACAACAAGCUAUCGGCCUGUAAUCCUUUAUUGUCUUAGCCUGUUCCCGGAAUUUUGGAGUGUUAUCUACAACAUAUAGCAAAUUAUUAUAUGGUUGUGUUUUUCUUGAAUGCGAUAGUGAUCAUUGACGAUAUCAGUGGUUAUACUACACGUUCAUGGUGGUUUCUUCAUGCGACACCUAUGGUGGUAUAUCACUGUAACUGAUGAUGUUACACAGCGAUUGUCUCCCGUUUCGUUCAAGCGUGGUCGGUUCCAAUGGGUAACCGUUUUCUCUCUCUCAUGUAGAGUUUCUUUCCGGUUUAAUCGGUUUAUGUGUUGGAUUGUUGUUGUCGAUACAACCAAUCCAUCUUCUCAAAAUUGCCGUAUAUGGGAUCCCGGAAUUUCGGUCAUGAUACAGAAAACUGUAGCCAUUAACCAAAAACAUAAGACGAUGACACCACAUCAACCAAAGUUAGAUGAAAGUGGGAUUUUUGCACAACCUUAUGUAAAAGAGAUAUUAGUUUCUUUUCAACUUUUGUUGUCGGAUCUCGCUUGUGCAGAAUUGGAGGCAAGAUGUAGAAGUUUGAUUUCAGAAAGGAGAAAAUCAAAGUCGAAAUAUGUCAAGAAGACUCUAAUACGAUUUCACUGGUAUCAGAUUGUCGAAGUUCCAGAACUAUUACCGGAAGCAUUGGGUUUUGUCAUGCGGUGUGUAAUUCAAAGGUAUAGCCAAGAGAUGCUAGCUACGCACAUUUCGCAUCAGAUUAAGAUCAAAUACGAAGAGGAAAAUAACGAAUUUUAUGAUUCGUUAGCGAGUAAGACUUAUCUAUGGAAAGCAUCAUCAAAUCACUUAUUUUGUUGUAUCUUUUUCACUAUAUGGCGCAUAUAUCUGCUUAUGUAAUAAUUUAUUUUCUGAAAGUUCUGUAUGACUUUGUAAUCCUUAUUUGAAAUCAAUAAAAUUGUUUGCCGUAAAAAAAAAGUAUUCAUAUAAACUAAUAUCGAUUCAUCAGUAUCUCUAGAAACAAAUAAAUUUUCAAAGUCCCAGCAUCAUUAGUUUAUAGAAGUUUUAAUGUAUUAAAUAUGUUUAUGACAGAGCGUCAUGGAUCGGUCGCAGUGGCGGAGGGAAAUGGAAUAAGAUGGGGUCAUUCGCCUCCAACGAAUUUUAAAAAUUGCUGUAAUUUAUUAAAGUUUAAUAUCAAUGCCCACACCCAUAAUAUUACAUAUACUCUCAUUUGCCACCAGGAAAAAAAAUUUCUGGCUCCCCCACUGAUCGAUCGUACCCUGACAAAGCUGUACGUAGUAAUACAUUUUAUCUAUAUCUUUCUCAUGCAUGGUCAAGUUGUACACUAAUACAUUUUAUCUUUAUCUUUCUCAUUACGAAGUCUGAUUGUGAGGUGUUUUUUUCCAGCAUUUAAGACUUCCAUCAUGAAUCAUGAUAUGCAGUGGGAAAAGCUCCCUAUUUUACUUCAUCAGAGUUUUGGUUCCGGAUCAUCUAUAAUGAAGCCAUAUACAAUGGACAACAUUAAAAUGUGUCCGCCAAUCGCCAUGCUCGUUAGACACGUAGCGAAGUCGUAACUUACUAAGAUAAUUUUUUACCAAAAAAAAAAGAACUGACUAAGAUAAUAUCACCAAAGUAAAACCUUUCCGUAGAGAAUUUUUUUAAAAAAAAAAAUAUUAAAUGUAAAUACUACCUUACAGACCAUAAAUCUCAUCUUGUAGCAAUGGAGUUACUUCCUUGGAUAAUAAAGGUAAAUUCUGAAAGUUGAAAGAACAGAACCGUGAGUAGUUGUAUAAUAGCCACCAAACUAUAACGGAAGAUAAUUAUUGGCGCUUUACUUCCGGUGGAAUAUGUUGAAGAAUUGAAGUACUUCAAACCCUAAAGAUACACAAUACAAGGAAGACAAAAAAAGAUUCAAACGUUCACAAUUUUUCAAAUAACCAACAUGAAAAUAAGUAAGCCUGUAAUUUUGACCUAAUAGCCUCAUAAAAUGCAAGUAAACAGCUUCUGGACCUUUUCAUGGCGAUUGAUGUACCCGGUGAGACCACGUCUUACAAUACAAAUGAUUUAGACGUCAAUCUCUUUUUUUUUUUUUUUUUUGAUUUAGACGUCAAUCUCAAAACCUAUGAUUGGAUUCUGAGGAGUCUUCAGUUAGAUAUAGGGUCGCAAUUUGCGUCUGAACUGGACAAAGUUUAGUGUAAUUUACGUUUCUGCUUGAUCCUUCGUGAGCGAUUGUGAGAUUUCGUUAAUUCCACACAUCCUAUUCGAUUGAGAGAUUAACCGGAGUGAAAAGACCAAGAAGACUUUCUAGUUUCUAGUAGGUUAAACCAGUGUACGCAAUGUUUUGUACUCGGAAGAAAGAAACUUCAAUUAUUGCACGAUAAUGAAAUACGCCAAGGAUUUCCCUAUUCAUGGGACAUAGGAGUCAGCCUUUUCACGUUAAGAAUAACCGUAACCGUGGUCCUGCCUUGACGCUGCAUAGCCGUUCAUCUUAUUCUACAUUGUUUUAAUUAUUAGUUAUCAAGGACAUGAAAACUGUUAGGAGCCCACCAGUUUAUAAGUGUAUGAUUUUAGUCAUUUUUUUGUUUCACUAAUUUAGGGGUACUUGGAUUUUUAUUUGUUUGGUAAAUCACGUGGGAAGCAUUUCUCUCACGUUUAGUUAUUACAAAUUUACAAUGCAACCGUUUCGAGAAUCGCAUUGUCACGAGAAUAUAAACGAUUUAUAUGGGUGAGCUUUUCAAUUUCUCAUUAAUUAUUAAAAUUUGUAAAACCCAAUUAAACUUUAUAUAGUGUGAAAAGCUAAAACACUACAAAACGACUGUCUAUAUAUAGGGUAUAUAGCACUACCCCAUAUCCAAUAUCAUUCUCGAUCACUCACAGCUCUUCUCCAACCUGAAGGUCGUUCUCUCUCUCUCUCUCUCUCUCGAAAUUAUUAGACAUGCUUUUUCCAUGUAUGAUUUGUUUUAUACUUGUUAACAUUUGUUAUUACGUUAUUAACUUAUUAUCAUUACAAGUAUACUACUGCGUUAUUCAGCUUAUUUGUUAAAGGUAAAUCAUCUGUGUAAGAUUGUUCUUAUGAAUGAAAUAAGAAAGAUGCUUCAUGUAGGAAAAAAAACAAUAUAUUACUAGGGUGUUUCUGUAUACUAUUACUUCUAUUCAGCAAAGAUUCGUUUUAGUUACAAAGAUAGGGGAAAGCAUAUUAAAAAUGUCAGUGUCCUCCCAGACCUGGAAGAUAUGGACUAACUUUUCAGAUUUUACAGACUGAAGAAUAAAAAGUUAUUAUUUUUAAAUAUGCCCUAUAAGUUUCGGAUUGUUAAUGUUUCUAUGUAAUUGGUAUAUAUUUCUCGUAUACUUUGCUCGAAGCCAGUUUUUUUUGUUUUUAUCUAGUGAUUUCCUCACUUUAAGUUUUAUGUCAAAGACUCAAAAGGAGACUGAUUGAAAUUGUCGUGUAAACGUAUUUUCCAAUGUGUUCACACAAAACAAAAAUACUACUCAUAGUUGACAAAGAAAAAAGUAUUCCCCAUAAUGGAGCCUGCGAAAUAAUUAUUCGAUAGAAAAAAACGUUAUUAUCUAGGUACUAACGUCUCCUAUGACAUUUGUAAUAAGUAGAAAACAUAGUUGAUCUUACUUCUUCUUCCUUUCUUAACCAAGACACCACAUUCUGUUUGUUAUUUGUUGUUUCUUGUCAAUUUGUGUAUUUUUUUUAAAGAGAUUCAAUAUUGCAGGUUUUCUCAGAAGUUAGAAAAGAAAAACAAUGUCCGAAAAGAUGGGACCAAUUGGUGGUAUCAAGGGAAAGACAUUCGACGAUGGAGCAGAUCAUGACGGUGUGGCCAAGAUAUACGUUGCACCUGGUGGUCGAGGGAUUGAGAACAUCAAGUUCGAUUAUGUUAAGAACGGAAAGAUAAAGGAAGGAUCUUUACAUGGUGUGAAAGCUAGAGGUUUCACUUCAACGGUGCGUGCUGAUUUCUUUCUUUUAUUCGACAACGCUACUUGUAGGAUAUUUUUAGAUUAUUAUUACUUUGCAUCUAAGUACAAUAAGAAUGUUUAUUGGAGGCUAGUGACAUUUUGAUCUUCGAUUUUCCCAGAUUGUGAUCAGUCAUCCCGAUGAGUACCUUAUUUCUGUAGAGGGGUGGUUCGACUCUUCCAAUGUCAUUCAAGGAAUCCAGUUCAAAACUAACAGAAACAUUUCUGAUAUAUUUGGAUAUGAAUUUGAUGGAGAUGGAACACAAUUUUCACUUCAAGUCAAGGACAAGAAGAUCAUCGGUUUUCAUGGAUUAGUUGAUUCUCAUCUCAAUUCUCUUGGAACUUACUUCACUCCCAUCUCUUCCUCCUCUUCGUCUUCCUCGUCCUCGAGUCCUCCUCUAAAAAAGUUAGAAGCUCAAGGAGGAAAUGGCCGAGAAAAAUUCGACGAUGGUACUUUUGAUCAUGUAAGAAAAGUUUCUGUUGGUCAAGGAGAUUCGGGUGUAGCGUAUAUCAAGUUCGAAUACGAAAAAGAUGGCAAAAGAGAGGCACACGAGCACGGAAAAAAGACAUUGUUAGGAACAGAGGAAUUCGAGGUUGAUCAAGACGAUUACAUCACAUCUAUGAAAGGUUACUACGAGAAACUCUUUGGCUCGGAGACAGAAAUUAUAACGACUCUUAUAUUCAAGACAUUCAAGGGCAUAACCUCUCAGCCUUUUGGAAUGCCCUCGGGGGAUAUGUUCUUGCUCGAAGGCGGCAAAAUCACUGGAUUCCAUGGCAGUUCGAGCGACGUUCUUCAUUCUAUCGGAGCUUAUAUUUCUCAUUCGGCUUCUCCCAAGAUGCUGCGUGGCAAUUGGAUCCAGGUACGUACGAAUUAGGGCUUAAGAGCAUCAUUAUAUAUUGGUUGAGUUUUUUUAAAAGUGUUUCUAGUAAUCUUAUAUUAGUAUUUUAACAUAAUUAAUAAAGAAUUCAACCAUUUAAAAAAGGACAUGUAUUAUUAUAGUCUCCCACAAAUAAAAAAAUCAAUUAUUCAAAAAGAGACAGAUAUUUUAAUAGUUUCUCUUGAGUUUCCGAAAGUUUCUCAAAUAUUCUCUCUCUCUUUCCUAGUUCCUACUUUUUUUAUUUUAUUUUAAUUUUGUGAAUACGAUACACACUCAAAACUAUCGCUAAAGAUGUUCUAACAUGCGGUUACACGAGUCGGUUUGGUCCCACAUAUUCAGUUUUUGUUUAUCAGAAGAUUUCAUAUUUUAUUUGGUUUGGUAAACAUAUAUAUAUAUAUAUAUAUAUUAUUUUGGACAACAAAUAUAAAUAGUAGUAAUAAUUUCAAAAUGUUGUAUUAUAUCGAAGUUUCUUAUUUUUUACUUUUAAAAGUAACAAAUUUUCAAUUUGAUUUUGGUUCAAAAAUUUGGAAAUGAUUUUGGUUCGGUUUGAAUAUUCUUAGAGACAGAUUGCGUAGUAAUACACCAAGUAAACAAGAUUAAUAUUGUUUAUGUGUGACCGUGAUGAUAUUGUGUUAUGAAACAUGUGGUGACUAUUAUUUUUAGGUGGAGCAAAAAGGCAAGGGUCCUGGACCAAGAUGCUCGCACGCUAUAGCAAUGGUUGGAGACAAAAUGUACUCUUUUGGAGGAGAGUUAACGCCAAAUUUCCACAUUGAUCAACACCUCUACGUCUUCGAUUUCAAGACACACACAUGGUCGCUUGCUCCUCCAAACGGCGACGUUCCUGAACUCCUUGCUUAGGCGUUUGCAUGGUGGCCAUCGGCACUACACUCUACGUCUUCGGUGGGCGCGAUGGCCACCGUAAUUACAAUGGUUUCUACUCUUACGACACAGUUAAAAGCGAGUGGAAACUCAUAACUCACGUCAAUAAAGGACCUGCACCGCGUAGCUUCCACGCAAUGGCUGCUGAUGACAAAAACGUUUAUGUCUUUGGUGGAGUGAGUACUACGGUACGUGUCAACACACUCCAUGCUUACAACAUCGUUGAUGAAAAGUGGAUUGAGCUUCCGAAUCCAGGAGAGUCUUGCAAAGCGAGAGGUGGAUCAGGGCUAGCGGUUGUGCAAGGGAAGAUUUGGGUUGUGUAUGGGUUUUGCGGGGACGAAAUGGAUGAUGUUCAUUGCUUUGAUCCGGCUGAAAGUAAGUGGACUAAAGUGGAAACAAGCGGUGAAAAGCCGUGGGGGAGAAGCGUGUUUUCGAUGGCUGUUCUAGGGAAAUAUAUAAUUAUAUCUGGAGGUGAGAUUGAGAUGGACCCAAAGGCUCACUUGGGUCCGGGGAAAUUGACCGGAGGAGCUUUCGUGUUGGACACAGAGAGUUUGAUGUGGCAGAAGCUUGAGGAAGGUCAUAGCCCGCGUGGAUGGUGCGCGUCCACGACUGCGUCCAUUGAUGGGAAAAAAGGGUUGUUGAUGUAUGGAGGGAAGUCUCCGACCAACGGUCGUUAUGAUGACAUCUUUUUCUAUGGCGUAGACUCUGCUUAAGACCGCUCGGUGUUGGUAAUAUUGUGAGCUUUAAAAGUUGUAGUUUGUUGCAUCAUGGGAAGGAUCUGGUGUCUGAGACCUAAAGAGUUGAGAGCUGAGAUUCUUGCUUGGUUUCUCUUCAUUUUCUGUGUGUUUUUUUUUAUUGAUCGAAUCAAUAAAUGUAGAACUGAGUUCUUAAAUAAGAUAAGCGUGGAAAUCAAGCAUUUGGUUUCUUUACUAUUGAUAUAGAAAAUAAGAUGUUUAAUUUGAGGUCCGGUGACAAUAUCAGGAAUAAGAGGAAUGAUAAAGAAAUAAAAAAUAAAAAGAAUCAUUUGGAAAAAAAUAAAUAAAAUAAAUAAAGAAAAUGAAUGAAAAUUGUCACAAUAAAUGGUAACCAGAAACAUGAAUGAAUAUCUUAAAACAAUAAAUAUUCAACAAUUAAUAACUUAAAAGAAAAAAAGUUUUUCUUGAUAGAGUCGAUUGUCUACAACUUUAGCGUCUCCAUUCCAUUCACAAUGUGUUUAAUAACUACAACAUAAAAAUCUGCAUUAUUGAUCUAUAAAAUAGUAUCCAACUAAUAACUUAGCAUUAAAAGUUUUCUUUUUAGAGAAUUGACCUCUUAAUAUAUCAAAUAACGUGUAUGUUAAAGUAAAAGUAGACAAACCUAUAACCGACAACGACGAGAAGCAAGUCUUUUGUCGGACCACAAUUUUUGGGCAAUAUGAUCUCGAACCAUUUUCAUAUAAACCUCUGUUGAUGUUUCUUCAUUUAUUCGUCCAUCAUCUUCAUCAUCUGAAAGAUUGUUCUCAUUUUGAUGUAUAUUAUCGCUUAUUUCUGCUUCUUCGAAAUCAAGAUCUUUAAUUUUGUUUCACCGAAUAAAAUUGUAAAAUCCCAUUGUUGCAAAUAUAACAUUUCUUUACGUCGAAAUAUUAUACAUUGGAAAUUCUCUAAUAACCCUCCACUUUUCCUUGCAUACACCAAAAGUGCGUUCAAUAACUGAACUAAUGAUGCAUGCCAACUAUUGAACAUUUCCUUAUUAUUUUUUGGAAACUCCUUAUUUAUAAACUUUUGAAGAUGAUAUCGAGUAUCAUCUUUUUAAUUUGUCUUUCCGAUAUGGAGCUAAAUAUCAACAUCUAUAUGGAGUAUUUUCUUUCAAGAGGUUUAGGAAACAUUGGAUCAUCUCGUAUAGCUGUUUCCAGCACUCGUGAGUCAUGUGUUGAUCCAGCCAUUCCAACAAAACAAUACGUAAAAAGCAUAUCGUGAUCACACAUUCCAAGGAUGUCAAAAAAAAAGAUCACACAUUCCAAGGACAUUAAGAUUUGCUGUUCCUUUUCGGUUCACAAACCGUAAUGUAUCUUGACCUGGAAUCAUCAUAACAGAUAUAUGUAUCCCAUUAAGAGCCCAAAUACAUCCACUAAAAUAAGGCCAAUACCGUCUAUCUCCUUCUAAACUAUUGGAUAUUGCUUCUAACUUAUAAGCUGUUAUUGGGCGUAAAUAGUCAACAGCCAAUCGUACUAUUGCCCCAAGAACACAAUGAAAUUUCCAUUCCUAAUUUUGGUCUGGUGACCAUAAUUGGACAAGGACAUUCUAUAUAAAUAGACAAACGUAAAAUUACAAAUGUUCUAUUAUUCAGAUCAAAUUAAAAAAAAAAAUAACGGAUUAAAGUAAAUCUAGCUGUUUUUCCCAACUCUAUCCCAAACUAUGAUUUGCUCCUACAUAAGAUGUGUGGAAAGCGGUUAUCUCAAGUCUCAUGAAAAACUUACGUCCCAUAUAAAGAAAAGAACGUGUAUGUACCUGCAAAAUACUGACGUAUAUGUGUACAUGCAGAAUAGGCUUCCAGUGGGAGCUAUUUUUUAAAAAAAUUAUUAUAAGCUCAGUGGGAGCUAUAUAUUCUAUUCACUUCACGUGUUGCUUUUCUACUGACUUUUUUCAUUUUUAUUUCUAGUUUUUUCAGUCACAAUGGAUCGGUCUAGUAAUUCUUAUAAUAAAUGAAAGGACUCGAUCUUAGACGAUGUUCUAAAAAUCGGCCGCUUAGGGCAUCUCUAACUCACCUUUAGAGAUUAUACUCUAACCCACUUCUAUUUUCACCUCUAAAACAAAGAUUGCUAUUUUUUCCUCCAAAUAUAGAAGGACUCUAUUUUUUCCCUCUAUAAUAGAGGUGAACUUUUUUAUUUAUAAAGUAGUCCUUUAACUUUUAAAUAUUUCUAUUUAUGCAAAAGGUAUAAUUUUUUAUGAAUAUAAAUGUGAUAAUUUUGGUUAUAGUUUAAAAAAAAAUUUUAAAACAUAUGAUAUUAUUAAAUAUAAAAAUUCUCAUUUGAAAUUAAACUACAAAAAGUAAUUGCAAAUUAAAAUUACAUAAAAAUAAACAAAAAAUAAACAAAAAAUAACAAUAAUUUAAUAAUCUCCUAAUUGGCUCCCGGAUCCACCAAAAUUAAAAUAUUGUCAAAACAAAGUAGAUGAAGGAGGAGCGUGUUGAUCUUGUUGCUGUUGUUCAUCACUUCGCUUCUGUAAAAUCCAAAUAGCAGAGGAUAAUAAUAUCUGAUUCUAAGAGUUUCUAGGUCCGUUUAGGAAAAUCAAAGAUUAAAAAGCUUAUUUUUUACUUCGGAAUGAAUUAGUCGAUCAUUUAUGGGAAAAACACAUCAGUAAAGAUGAUUAAACUAUUAUGUUUCUUUUUAUGAUGUAAUGUCUUUUUUAGUUUAUGAAUUUUUACUUCUAGUAUUAUUAUAAUAUGUUGAAACUUUCAUAAAAAGUAACAUAAAUGGGAUUAAUUUAAAAAUUUAGUCAAAGAUUAGUAUUACUAUAAUUUAUGAAAAUUUUUAUAAAAAGUAAAAUAACAGAUUAAAUCACAAAUUUUAUUUAUCAAAGUUAGUAUUAUUAUAAUUUAUGUAAGUUUUUGUAAAAAACAAUAAGUAGGGUAAAUUCAUAAAUUUUAUUAACAAAAGGUGUUAAGAACAAAUAACAAAAAGAAUAUAUUGAGAAUAUUCUUUUUUAAAGGGAAAAAUAGAGGUAACCAUUGGAGACAAAUGCACCUUUAUUUUAGAGGAAAAAAUAGAAGCAACCAUUGGAGAUGGUCUUAGGUGCUAAAAGAGAGGGUAGCUGCCCUGAUUUGUUUUUAGGCAGAGAGUUUAGGCGGUCAACCGAUUUUCAACUACUUAAAUUCGAUUUUUUAAAAAUUUGGUGAUUUCUUAAAAAAAAAAUUUACUUUUUUUUUUAAACCCACAGUAUUAACCUAAAAAAUCAAUCCAAAACUUUUAAUAUUUUUAUAUUAGUCCAAUAUUUUUUGUUUUAGUAAACUAAAACCUUAAAAUUGGCCCAAAAAUAUGUCUAAAAGUUCAAUGAUACUUAUAUUUCAAUGUAUAUAUGUUUUAACAAAUUUAAUCUGCAGAAAAAAAAUUAUUAAAUUUAAAAAAAACUAAUAUGAGUAAUUAAAAAUUAAAUAUAAUAUAGAUUAAUUAAAACUAAUCAUCAACUAAUCAGUGAUUAAUCAUUGAUUUUUGGUUUAAAUGCUAGUCAGAGCCCGUCUACCCAUCUACCGCUUAGCAAAUUAUUUAGCAGAUCUUAGAUAACAUAAUGUCGAUUUUUGAUGAGCUUAUAAUACUAGACCACAGUCGCUUUAAUUCUCCUCACUUAUAAACACGUUACAAAUUUGACCAAAAACAAACACGUUAAUUUUGACUAAUUUCAUUAUAAAUAAUUAUAAACUUAAAAAUAUUAAUAACUGCUAAUGAUUUUGUGAAAUUGAUAAAUUAUUUAAAUAGAAUAAAUGAUAAUUAUUCAUAUUUAAUUUAAACUUUAUGUUCUUUCUUAAUAUCUUUUUUUGGUCGGAUGUUCUUUCUUAAUACCUUAUUCAAACAAAAAUAACCGGCUUAGGAAAAUUAUAAUUAGAAAAACCCUAUAACUAAAAACGUUUUAGUAAUAACAAUGCAUAAAGUCUUACUUUUCUCAGAACAAAAAAACGUGUUUUAAGUAAAUAUAAUAAGUUACAUAAAAUGCUGCUACAUUAUACAUAAAUUUUUAUCGAUAUUGAUCACUUAAAAGUUAAAAAUUAUAUUCUUCAUUACCAAAAAACAUAGUUUAUAAAUUCUGUUAACGUGUUAACCAUAAUAUAUGAUACUUGUUAUUAUGAUAACUAACAUGAUCUAAUACUUAUUAGCAUAUUAGCAAUAAUAUUUAAUACUAGUAACGUGUUAACAUAGUAUAUAUUAAUGUAUUAAAAAUAAUAUUUGUAACAUGUUAAUAAUAAUAUUUUUUUUUACUGUUAGCACGCUAACAACUAUCAUAUAUUAUUUUUAAUAUAGUAACAAAUAUCAAAUAUUUAGUUACAAAAUAAAACAUUAACAGAUAUAAAAUGUUAUGUUUUUUGGUGAUGAAUAGUAUGUUUUCUGGUGAUGAAUAGUAACAUUGAUUUUUGAAUGAAUAGUAUUGGUAGAGUUUGAUGAACAAUCUAUGAACAAUAACAAUAAUAGUGAUGGUAAAAGAGGAGCAAAAUAGAAACAAAUAUAUUUUUCUUUCUAAUCAAAGUAAUUUUAAACUAUUAUUGAUAUAUACAUAUUUAAUUUUGAUAUCUUAUGAUAGAUAUUAGAUAUCGGCGUAUCGCUAAUAGUUAAUACUCAAGAUCCCUAAAAAUCCAAAUCAAUAAUUUCACGAUAAGAAAAGUAAAUGGAGUGAUAAAAAUUGACAUGUAAAAAGGGAUACCAUUUUUUAGUUGGAUCCUAGUCAUCUUAUACAACAAUUCUUAUUAUUUGUCAAGGAGAUCUGAAAUAAUUGGGGUCCACCAUUUUACAAGUAUCAUUUGUGUGAAAAUUUAGAAAUUAUUGAAUAGAAUAAAUGAUAAUUUUUCUAAAUUUAAAUAAAACUUUAUGUUCUUUCCAAAUGCUUUAUUGAAACAAAAAUCAACGGCUUAGAAAAAAACUAAUUACAAAAUGAAUCAUAUAACUAAAAAAUCUUCAGUGAUAACGAAGAAAAAUAAAUUCUGAAAAAGAAAAUGCAAAUCAAUAAUUUCACGGUACGAAAAGGAGAGAAUAAUAGGUCAUUUUCAAGAUGAAAGAUGGAGUUGCCAAUAAAGUGACAUGCAAAAGAAAAUGGACAUCACUUUCUAGUUGGGUCCCAUCUGUGCCAUUAUUCAUUCAUUAGCCAUCUGAUACAACAUUUCUUAUUAGCUGCCAAGACAUGUGAACUAUUUAGGGUCCACCAUUUUACGAGUAUCAUUUUUGUCAUGUUAUCGGACGGUUACUUGGAUUUUUAUUGGUUUUUUACACCACGUGGGAAGCAUUUCUCCCACGUUUCCGUUCGAGAAUCGCAACUACCGUCAUUGUCAGAAAGAAUGUAGAGCAUUAAUUAUUAAAAUUUGUAAGAAACAGUAAAGUUUUUAAAUACAUGUGAUCAAUCAAAAAUGACUGAGAGUACUAAACUUUACAUAGGGAGUGCAACAAAAAAAACUUUAAACUAAUUACUUGGAAGAUUGAAACAAAAAAAAAAACAUGGAACCAUCCGCUAAUUAAGUGAUAAAACCUAAGAAAACAACAUUGUACACAAAUAUAAUAAAUCCAGGGAAAAAACGCAGAAAUGUUAUAGUAUGUAUCCGGUAGAUACUCUAAACCUGAUAGGAUGAAUUAAAAAAGCAGGUAUAUGUAGGCUUAAAAUUUUAUCAGAAUUCAAGGUAUCUAUUUGGUCUUUACCUACUCUUAUCAUCCUGAGAAUAUAAUUUAUAUAAAGGAUUUGUAUUAGUGAGCUUUUCAAUUUCACACCAAUUAUUAGCAUUUGUAUAACAAUUUAAGUUUUAUAUUCAUGUGAUAAAUUUCAAAAACGACAGAGAGUAAACUUUAUUACGGAGUGUAAAAAAACUAAAACACUACAAAGCGAGUGUCAAUAUAUAGGGACUAUGGCACUACCCCAUAUCCAAUAUCAUUCUCGAUCACUCACAGCUCUUCUCCAACCUGAAGGUCUCUCUCUAUCUUUGCCUCCUUUUUCUCCACGAUUCUAUAUUCACAUUUUUAGCUGUCAACAUUCUCUAUUCACAUUAUCAUAAUAAAAUAUAAUUUCGUCCUUGUUAUAGGAUCAUACGGUUUUGCCAUGCAUCAACUGUUUUCUAUUUGAUAAUCGGCCAUUCAUCAAUUGUUGUUGUGAAUUAUUUUAUUUUUUGAUAAAUACUUGCAGUCAUGAAUUAUACGUUCUUAUCAAUAUAUACAAAGACACUACUCGGGUUUUUUGUAUGAUGUUCAACUGUAAAAAUAUUUAUUGUAAUUGCAAAAUAACGAAAAUUGAAGGAUAUUAGAGGUUUUAGUCAAACCGUCUUUAGAUACGUGAUACGUCCUAAAAUUCUCAGUAUUUAUAACGGUUCUCGUAUACUUGCUAAAAUCCAGAGCUUUUUAUACGUAUAAUUAUGUCAAAGAGUCAAAGGAGACUGAUUGACAUUGUGUCUUGUAAAAGUAUUUUCCAUUAGUGGAGCCUGAGAAACAAUAAUUCGAUAGAAAAAAUAGCUAGUAAUGGUAUUCAAGUUUUCCUGUGAUGAUAAGAAGAAAAACAGAGUUUUGUGUUUCUUCUUCUUCCUCUGUUUUUCUUUACAUGUGAACUUAUGUGGAAUUUGAAAUAACAAACUACUUUUUUGUUGCUUUUUGAAUUAAUUUUCAGAUUUUCUGUGUAAAGUUAAGAGAAGGAAAUGAUGUCCCAAAAGAUGGGAGCAAUGGGUGGUAACAUGGGAGGAGCAUUCGACGAUGGUGUUUUUGACGGUGUGAAGAAAAUAAUAGUCGGAAGAGAUCUUGGAUGUGUCUCAUAUAUCAAGAUCGAAUAUGAAAAGGACGGAAAAAUUGAAACCCGUGAGCAUGGGACUAUUCGUGGGCAACUAAAUGAGGUAAUAAAAUUAUUGUGACUUUGUUACUCUUCAAUCGGUUCGUAUCAAACCCUUAAAAAGCUGAUAGUUUGUUUGUUUCUUAUGGAAAAUGAAUUUCAGUUUGCGGUGGAAUAUCCGAAUGAAUAUAUCACAUCUGUUGGUGGAAGCUACGGUCAUGUUAGAUACUAUGAAGCAGUGCUCAUCAAAUCGCUAUUCUUCAAAACCUCCUACAGAAGAACCUCUCCGAGAUUUGGAGAUUCAGGUGGGAGAGAAUUCAUGCUCGAGAGUGAAAAUGGAGGAAAGCUUCUUGGAUUCCAUGGACGCUCAGGUCAAGCUCUUGAUGCCAUUGGACCCUACUUCUUCGCUGUUAAUUCUCCCCUUAAGCACUUUAACCGUCAAGGUGGGAGUGGGGGGAGUGCUUGGGACGAUGGUGCUUACGAUGGUAUUAGAAAAAUACUCGUUGGAAGAGGUGGUAAGUUUGUGAGUUAUGUUAGGUUUGAGUAUGCAAAAGGUGAAAGAAUGGUACCACAUGCUCAUGGGAAAAGACAAGAGGCUCCACAAGAGGUAUUUAUCGAUAUAUUUAUUAUCUAUGUGUAGUUUCGUGUUUUCAGAUAUAUUUUGAAAAAGAAAUAAAAAAAAAUUAAAAUAACUUUGGUUGCAGUUUGUGGUGGAUUAUCCUAAUGAACAUAUUACAUUAGUGGAGGGAACCAUCGAUGGCUAUCUUACAUCGCUUAGGUUUAAGACAUCAAAAGGAAGAACCUCCCCUGCUUUUGGAAAUGUGGUUGGUCGGAAAUUUGUGUUCGAGGAACAAGGUUUCAAGCUUGUUGGCUUCUGUGGUCGAUCCGGUGAUGCAAUUGAUGCUCUUGGUGCACAUUUUGGCCCUCUUCCAGCUCCAGCUCCAGCUCCAACUCCAACUCCAACUCCUGCUCCUGCUCCUGCUCCUGCUCCAGCUCCAGCUCCAGCUCCAACUCCAACUCCUGCUCCUGCUCCAGCUCCAGCUCCAGCUCCAACUCCAGCUCCAACUCCAGCUCCAGCUCCAGCUCCAGCUCCUGCUCCAGCUCCAGCUCGAGCUCCUGUUACCAUAAAGAUGGGACCAAUCGGUGGUAACAAGGGAACCACAUUUGACGAUGGUGUCUUCAAUGGUGUCAAGAAAAUAACUGUCGGGAAAGACGAGUACAGUAUAACUUACAUCAAGAUCGAAUAUGAAAAGGAUGGAAAAGUCGAAAUUCGUGAACACGGGACGAAUCGCGGGGAGCUAAAAGAGGUCAAAAUAUAUAAUUUUUUUCUAAAAAAUUGUUCUUAUUUAGUAGGUUAGCUCUUAAUUCAUUUGCUUAUAAUGGAAAAUGAAAUACAGUUUACGGUGAAAGAACAUAUCACAGCUGUAGGUGGAAGCUACAAUCAUAUUUUCAACUAUGAUACAACGCUUAUCACAUCACUAUACUUCACAACCUCCAAUGGCUUUACCUCUCCAUUAUUUGGUGAGAUGAGUGGAGAAGAAUUCAAUCUCAAAGGUGAAAAUGGUGGAAAGCUUCUUGGAUUCCAUGGACGUGGUGGUUAUGCUAUUGAUUCCAUUGGGGCUUUCUUCGAGACACACUCUAGUGGAUCCCAAAAGUUGUCCAAAAAGAUGGGACCGAUUGGUGGUAUUAAGGGAAAUACAUUCGACGAUGGUGUUUUCGAUGGUGUGAAGAAAAUAACUGUGGGGAAAGACAUGUAUGGUAUAACUUAUAUCAAGAUCGAAUAUGCAAAUGACGGAAAAUUGGAAACUCGUGAACACGGGACGGCUAGCGCGGAACUAGAAGAGGUGAAAAUAAAUAAAGGGUCUUUUGUGAAUUUUGUUAAUAUUCAAUUGGUUUGCUACUAAUUCGUUUGUUUAUAAUGGAAAAUGAAAUACAGUUUACUGUGGAUUAUCCAAAAGAACACAUUACAGCCGUUGGUGGAAGCUACGAUCAUAUCUUUACCUACGAUACAACGCUUGUGACAUCCCUCUACUUCACAACCUCCAAUGGAUUUACCUCUCCAUUAUUCGGUAAAAAUAGUGGAAAAGAGUUCAAUCUCAAAAGUGAAAAUGGAGGAAAGCUUGUUGGAUUCCAUGGACGUGGUGGCACUGCUAUUGAUGCCAUUGGGGCUUACUUCGACACCGGUUCAAAAGGAGGUGAAGGAGAGAGCUCCGGCAGCAACGAUACAAAACCUGUUGACACUGACACCAAACCCGGCAAAGACGAUUCAAAACCUGAUGCCUCGGGAAAGACGGGACUGCUUGGUGGUAAAGGUGGAAACGCAUUUGACGAUGGUCGUUUUGAUGGUGUAAAGAAAAUAACUGUGGGAGCGGAUGAUUUAAGUGUGACCUAUAUCAAGAUAGAAUACAUUAAAGAUGGAAAGGUCGAAAUCCGUGAACAUGGGACGAAUCGCGGGGAACUAAAAGAGGUUAGAUUGAAUCAAUCAAAAGUCUUUUUGUGUGUGAAUUUUGUUUUUAUUCAAUUGGUAUGCCACUAAUUCGUUUGUUAAUACAGUUUUCGGUGGAUUAUCCGAAAGACAAGAUCACAGCCGUUGGUGGAAGCUACGAUCAUAUUUUCACCUACGAUGCGACGCUUGUCACAUCACUAUACUUCACAACCUCCAAUGGAAUCACCUCUCCAUUAUUCGGUAAAACGAGUGGAAAUGACUUCAAUCUCAAAGGUGAAAAUGGAGAAAAGCUUGUUGGGUUCCAUGGACGUGGUGGCACUGCUAUUGAUGCCAUUGGAGCUUACUUCGACACUAGCAGCGAUUCCAGUACUCAAAGAGUGGACGCACAAGGAGGCAAGGGAGGCAUUCAAUGGGACGAUGGAGGCGAUCACGAUGGUGUGACGAAGAUACUUCUUGUAGGUAGUGGUCGAGGUAUUGAUCAAAUCAAGUUCGAUUAUCUCGAAAACAAGCAGCCAAAGGAAGGAACCCUCCAUGGUGUGAAAGGAAGAAGAAGUUUCGAAUCAACGGUCAGUAUAUAUAUAUAUAUAUAUAUAUUUUUUUUUUAGCUCAAAGAACAUUUUCUGUCAAAAUGUUGAUUUGAGAUUACUUAAAAUUUCCAUCUCGUAAAUUUUCGUGUUUUCUGCAGAUUGAGAUAAGUCAUCCCAAUGAGUAUCUGGUUGCCGUCAAGGGUUGGUACGAUUCAUCCAAUGUCAUUCAAGGACUUCAAUUCCAAACCAGCACAAAGACUUCCGAUUACUUUGUGUCUGGAUUUGCUGGAGAAGGUACAGAGUUUACACUUGAAGUUAAAGACAAGAAGAUCGUCGGUUUUCAUGGCUUUGCCGACUCUGGUCUCUAUUCUCUUGGAGCUUAUUUCGCUCCAAUCACCAAAUGAUCACCAAUUGAAAGUUUGUUGUGUUUGUUUCUUGAUUUCCAUAUGAAUAAAGUUAUAUCAGAGACAGACUUGUAGAUUUGUCACCUCAAGGUCUCUUGAUGGACUAUGAGUUAUGUUUGUGUUUCAACUUGAUGUUUGUGUUGUCGCUUGUUGUUUUUAAUAAAUGAUGUCUGUUCGAUCUAUUUUGAUUGUGUUUCUCUCUGAAUCUUGUUACGACUACAAAAGGUUUUUGUCUUAGCUAGUAAGUAUUUGCUACAUUUUUAUCUUCUUACCACAAUAUGUUGGAACUUUGAAUGAGUCGCACGAACAAGAUCAAGGAGGAUGUUUGCUUAAUAAUUAGGAUUGUGGCUUUAAACUGUAUGACGAUAAAGUAAUUGUUGUGAACGUAAAAAAGUUAAAGCCAUACUUUUUUGUUUUUAGAAAAAUGUGUCCAUCAUAAAGGAAAAUGAAAGAAAUGGACUGUGAUGCUUUUUGUGAAGUAGUUUUAGGAUUUGUAUAACUUUAAAAUAAAUAAAGUGGAUAAAAGAAAACUAUUACAAUUUUUUUAAAAAGUUCUCACAACCUUUAAAAUUAAUUUACCUAACAAUAUAUAAUAUAUAAAAUAAAUAUAGAAUACGUAUGCUAUAAAUGAAAUGAAAAAGAAACAAAUUGAAUACUUGUAUAAUAUGUAUACUGUUUAGAGGAUUUUCGGUUUUCGAGUAGGGGCAAGUCUCCUACAAAUCGGAGAAAACGUGAAGAUUCAGAAAACACGAUAGAGUGUGUUUUUCGAAAACUCUGCGAUGCUCAAAUCAGAAAAUAGCUCGAAAAUUUCACUUAAUUGCCAAUUAAAAAGCAGAAAGGAGCCGGAAACUUAUGAAGAAAAGUGGACCGAGAAUCCUCAUAAAGAGUAGGAUUUACUCAGGCCUUUUAGUGGAAUUGGGCUUUUCAGGGUGAAAAAAAAAUACUCCACGGUUAGGAACCGCCGUGGAGUGGUAAUGAAGAAAAGCGACCAAAAAUAUAGUCAGAAAAGAGUAAAGUGUAUGUACUUACGAACCACAAGUAUUUAAAGUGAACUCUUUUUUCGUGGAAAAGGGUAAAGUAUUUAUAAGGAGUUACGGACUCUGACUAGUAUACCGGAUCGGUCUAUAGACGGUGGUUUGGGUGGGUCGACCCAUGAUCCGACUUGACUGGGUUCGAAUCUUAUGAUGGCGUCAUGCUUCUGAUGGCCUCAUCAACUUUUCUUGGCAGCGUCCUUUUUGUUCUCAGUAUACGAGUCAGAUUGGCGGUUCAGACGCGGUAUGGCUCUUUACUGAACCUCUUUUUUUUUCCUGGCUCUUGCGAAAAGUCAUUGUCACUUGACAUACGUUAGGAAAACAAAUUAAAUGUCAAUCUUGUGGAUAUGUAAAGGUGUGGACAAUUAAAUCAAACUAAGACAUAUUCUUAUUGUCGAAUGGAGGGAAAUUUGAAUAAUGUUCCCGGUUAAGUAGUUUAUUCAUACCUGGUUCGGAUCCCUCGAUAUUGGGAUUGGACUGCUGCAGAUGGAUGAUUUUGUUUUCCGGAUACCUGUGCGAGCCACACUUUUUUAUAUUCCGAUCUUUUCAGAUCACCGAGUUUAGGUCUAGGACAUAGAGAAUAUGACUUCCUCUCCUUCUGACCACUUAGUUUCCAACUUUUUUGUUUUUGAUAGUGUGAUCUAUAUUGUCAGACACGAGGAGUCCGGGAAUAGAUGGCCUAUCGUAUUGGAUUUCCCAAAUCCGAUGGAUUCGUUACCCAAUACUAUAAGUUUAGGCCAUAUUAAAUCGACGGCCUAAUACGUGUCCUAAUUUAGCUUAGAGGGUUUACAAAAAAUCAUAAAGUAUAAACACGCGAUUCACCACUUAAGAAAAAUUGAAUUGAUAUAUUAAAGUUGCUUUUUUUUUAGUCAGUUUGCUAUAAAUACCAAAACUUGGUCAAAAUUAGCUGAAUAGGAAUGACAAGACGUAAAUCUAUCUCUACAGUGUUUGGUUGGAAUGUUAAUUACCAUAUAACCCUCAUUUCUCAGUCUCUCUCUUUCCUUUCUUUUAUAUUUAAAAACGAAGAAAAAUUAGUUGUAACAAGUUACAUGUUAUUGUAGCAUGUUAAAAAUUAUUGUAUUAUGUAAAUAUGUAGGUUAACUGCUAACUUUUAGCUUAGCACGAUAACAUAGUUGAUAUCAGUUAACUUUUAUGUUCUUUUUCGUCGGAACAUUAACAUUUUCCUAGAUGUGAUGAUUUUGUUACAAGUUAUAUUUGAUUGUAAUACGUUAAUUUAUGUAUUGUACCUCUAACGUUUGUUUUAACAUGGUAACUUAAUAAUUUUCUGUUUAACUUACAUGUUACCUCUAAAUGUUUAUAUGUUAUUAUACCAUUUAAACAUUUAGAUAUAGCUCUAACUUUAUAUUUCACACGACAAAUAAAAUCUUGAAUCAUCAACUUUCAUCUUCAAUCUCCAGAAAAACCCAAUAUAUGAACCAUUGUCGCCGAUAUCAAAAUCGAUCUAAAUUCCCAGAAAAUUCACAGCCAAAUUUGCACUUCCACCUAUUUUUGUAUUAUCCACAUCCAUAUCUUUGGUGUUCAUUCCUUUGACAUAGAUAAUCUUAUAAAGUGUUUUUGGUGAGUGUGUGUAAGAGAUUGAGUGAAGGAUUGUAAAAAAAUUAAAGAUUUGUGAGGAAAGAGAAAGAUGAACGACGGAAAUAUGGUAUGAAGAAGAAGAAGUUGUGAGAGAAAAAUAUUAAGGGUAAUAAUGUCAUAUUGAAAAGUAUACAGAAGAGUAAUAUUGCGUUUUCCUAUUUUGCAAAUUAUGAACAAUCAUGAGGUUAUCUACUACAAAUACUUUUUUUUUUUCAUGAUUGACACGUAAGCAUGCAUGCUGCGUAGCCGUCAUUCAAUGACUGAAAUGUUAUGUCAUUUUUUUUGGUGUACCAAAUGGCAAAUGCAUGGUUUAUUCUGUGCAGCCCUUUUUUAAUAAAUAUUAAACUGGUACAAUCAGAUUUGGCUUGUUUGCCAAUAGUUUCUAUUUCUAUUCCAAUAUUACUAGCUCUAACUAUCUAAGAAUAAACUUAAACUAGAUUUUAUCACGUGCAUCCGCACGGAAAAUUUGUUUUAAUCAAAAUUUGUAAUCUAAUUUAUGUUUCUUUAUAAAUAUAAUUUUUUAAUAAGUGAUAUAAAAAAAAUUAUGUUUAGAUAUAAUUUUUUUUUUUUUUUUUCAGUAUUAUUAUGACUACUAUGAUCAUAAAAUAAUUUUAGUCUGGUUAUUUUAUUAAUAAAAAAUGACUGUUAUUAUAAAAAUAAAUUUCUAACUCGUUCAUUUUAUUAAUCCGAGAAAGAUCAUGAUUAUGAAACCGUAAUUAUAAAUCCGUCCGUUUAUAUUACUUUAUAAUAUAAAUAUUUACUAGUUUUGAAAUAAUUUUCUCCUAAUAUCUUGCAUUCUCUAAUAACCUAAACAGCAUAAGACCAUAAUUAUUAAAAAAAAUUAAUUUGUCCCAUCAAAUUAUUAUAUAAUAUUAAUCUUUAUCUAUUUUUAAUAUGUGAAAUUUUAAUCUGAUAGAAUAUGAUUAAAAAAUAUAAUAAGAUAUUUGUUAAUCAUAUGUGUUAUUUUGAAAAUCUUAUUUAAAUUUCAAAUGUUAAAUUAAAUCUAACAUAUAUUUAAGGAAGUCUAUUUAAAUUAAUAUCUAUAGACUAUAGAUAUAACCUAUAUUUAAGAAAAUUUUUAGUUAUCUAAAUUAAUAUCUAAUUUUCAAAAUUAAAUUUAUAUAUAUUAAAAAUAUUUUAAAAAAAAAUUUUAGGAGUGUUUGUAAACAAACACUAAAAUUAAUUCUGUUUUAAUAUAAUAGAUUCGAUAAUUAAAAAACAAAGAACAAUAUAGCUGUGUCAGCCAAGAUGCCGUAAAAUUUCCGAUAUUUGAGACUGUAAUGAUUGCUUCAGUUGAAGUGAGUUUGAUUGAAUAAUCAAGAUGAUAAAAAAUCCAGAAAUUUCGUUUGACGAGAGAUGUUUGGUCUGAGGAAUGACCGGAAGUUUGGUCUAAUUAAGUCUUUGAAGAAAAGCCAACAUAGACAUACCGCUUCAAAAUCGGUUUUCUACAUUGCGUCAGUACUGUAGUAAAUUAUAGUCCCUUCUUUGUGGGAGAUGGGAUUUUCGAACUGAAACAAGAAGAAACUAAGAGAAAAAAUAGGAAUGAUGACAAAUAUUUAUUUAAAAUUUCUUUAUUAAUGUGUGAAUAAAUUUAUUACAAAUUUGCAUUUUACCGUGGUCUAUUACAGUCUUCUAGUCGCUCAAGCAAAACUUCAUAUCAUAUUUUUUAUCAUUAUGCAGAAGUAUAUUCAUCUGCGGAGGAAUAGUGGAUUGAGGUGACAAAACUUGGGCUAAAUUCAUAAGUUACUUGGAUUUUUAUUUGUUUAGGAAGCCAUUCUCUCUAACGUUCAUAACAAAUUCACCCGUUUUCGAGAAUCGCACCUACUGCCACUGUAAUGUUUUUUUCUCUCAAAUAUGUAAGUAUCAGUGUAUCAAAGACUCAAAAGGAGACUGGAAUUAUCUUGUAAAAAUUAAAAUAAAUGUUACGAUUCUUUUUUAGUUAAUUUGAUUUUUUAAUAAUUUUCUAACCCAAUUUUUAUAUAGCCGAUCGACUCGAGAAAAAAAAAACUGGGGCUAAACCGCGUUAACGGCUCUAAUAAUAUGUUCUCCUAAUUACAGAAUCUUUUUCUUUCUAAAAUUCCUAAUUACAGAAAAUGCCACUGAAGUAGUUACACAUGUGAAGAGCAUGGUGCAAGGGUAUCAUUUAUACAAAAAAAAUUAGGCUUCAUUUGGUUAGACCAUUUUUUUAUGGUCGGUGAUAUUCUUUUUUCUUUUUUUCUUGUAUAACCAAAAAAUGUUGAAUAUCGCCAUGUGACAAAAAAAUUAACGUUAACUAACCUUAUCACCGAAAUGGCAAUAAAUAUCAAACCAUUUGCCAUCCCCAAUUAUUGCAUUCACUCUCCUCCUCCACAUCUUCUCACUCAGGUACUCUCUCUCUACCUCUCUCUCACACUCUCUCUCUCUCUAUCUCUCUCCUCUCUCUCUCUCAUUUUCGAGUUUCUAGAUUAUUCUAUUCAUCCGAUCAAAACGAGCUACAGUAGAGAUUAAACAAAGACUAUGAAAGAAGUUUUUAUGUAUUUAAUAAAAGACCUUCAAGAAUUUAUGAACAAAGCAUUUUUGUGGCUAUGCAUGUUGAUAUCAAUUAUUGUCCCGAUUUUAUUUUCAAUAGUUUUCGUGUUUUUUCGGUAACACUUGUCUCCUUUCCUUUCUUUAAUUCUUCUAUAUACACAUUAUCAUUAUGUUUUGUUUUAUUGUUAAUUUCCAUUCUUCAAUUUAACGAUAUAAUUUUCUUUUGUUUUUAGUCGUACAUUAAUAUAUUUUAUUUUCAUGGCUUUUAAAAAAUAAAAGAGAUUGUUUUGUUUUCACACAAUAACGAAUUGACUUCGUAAGGUUUAGAUCGGUUGAAAUUAAACCAGAUCCAGACCGGUUCAUUUUAGAAAGAUACAGAAAAACACAUUCGAUGUUAAUAAGUACAAUUAUAUAUCGUGUAAUUUGAGUUUGAUCCAUCACACUCCUUAGUGGCCAAUCAAAGAUGUUAGAGUAACUGCGUUUUGUUAUUAUUUUUCUGGAAAUAUAUUGUGGAAAAAGGUAAUAUACAAGUCUAAACUUCUUUUUUUGGAAAUAUUUAAUUUUUAUCCAUAAUUUUCAGGAUAUAUUUGACUGAUCGUCUUAACGGCCACGAUGUCUUGGGAUGACGGAAAGCACACGAAGGUGAAGAGAGUUCAGCUUACGUUCGAUGACGUCAUCAGAUCCAUCCAGGUCGAGUACGUCGGAACCACCCUCCAGUCUCAGCGACGUGGCAACGGCGGCACCAAAUCUGACGGAGUUAGUAACAACAGUGCUAACAACAUUUUAGUAUUUAAGAGUGUUUUAACUGUAAAAGAUUAUAUUAAACAAUUGUGGUUUGUUAAUUACAUAUCUUUUUUUGUUGUUGGCACAUGCAGUUCACACUGAGCUCGGACGAGUACAUAACGGGAUUGUCUGGUUACUAUAGAACGACUUUUUCGGGAGACAUUAUAACGGCGUUAACGUUUAAGACGAACAAGAAGGCAUAUGGCCCUUACGGAAACAAAACUCAACACUACUUUUCCGCUGAAGCACCCAGUGGUAAUCAAAUCGCCGGAUUUCUAGGAACCUCCGGCAAUGCUCUCAACUCCCUAGACGUUCACUUUGCUCCCAUUCCUCCCGCUGGUAGCAUCGGACCAAAACCUGAUGAACCCGAAACCAAACCUCCCGGCCAAGAAGAUUCAAAAGGUGAUGGCUCCGGAAUCAAACCUCCCGGCCAAGAAGAUUCAAAAGGUGAUGGUUUCGAAACCAAACCUCCAGGCCAAGAGGAUUCAAAAGGUGAUGGCUCCGGAACCAAACCUCCUGGCAAAGAAGAUUCAAAAGGUGAUGGCUCCGGAACCAAACCUCCUGGCAAAGAGGAUUCAAAAGGUGAUGGCUCCGGACCAAACCUCCCGGCAAAGAAGAUUCAAAAGGUGAUGGCUCUGGAGCCAAACCUCCUGGCCAAGAAGAUUCAAAAGGUGAUGGCCCCGGAAAGACUGGGCUGAUCGGUGGUAACAGUGGAGACGCAUUUGAUGAUGGUCGUUUUGGUGGUGUGAAGAAAAUAACUGUUGGAGCAGAUGAAUACAGUGUGACUUACAUCAAGAUUGAGUACGUAAAGGACGGAAAAGUUCAAACCCUUGAACACGGGACUAUUCGCGGGGAACUACAAGAGGUCAGAAUGAAUUAAUUUUUUUUUUUUUGUGAAUUUUGUUAAUACUCAAAUGGUUUGGUACUAAUUCAUGUGUUUCUAAUGGGAAAUCAAAUACAGUUUUCGGUGGAUUAUCCAAAGGAACAUAUCACAGCUGUUGGUGGAAGCUACGAUCAUAUUUUUACCUACGAUACAACGCUUAUCACAUCGCUAUACUUCACAACCUCCAAUGGAAUUACCUCUCCAUUAUUUGGUAAGCAGAGUGGAAAAGACUUCAAUCUCAAAGGUGAAAAUGGAGGAAAGCUUGUUGGAUUCCAUGGCCGUGGUGGAGCUGCUAUAAAUGCCAUUGGAGCUUACUUUGACACCAGUUCGAAAGGAGGUGACGAUACAAAACCUGUUGACACUGACACCAAACCCGGCAAAGACGAUUCAAAACCUGAUGCCUCGGGAAAGACGGGACUGCUUGGUGGUAAAGGUGGAAACGCAUUUGACGAUGGUCGUUUUGAUGGUGUAAAGAAAAUAACUGUGGGAGCGGAUGAUUUAAGUGUGACCUAUAUCAAGAUAGAAUACAUUAAAGAUGGAAAGGUCGAAAUCCGUGAACAUGGGACGAAUCGCGGGGAA
rnacentral:lncRNA from 1 species